UUUAAGAUGCACUGCAGCGGUUCCCUGCGUCUUGACCGAGACGCGGGAUUGAAAGGGAACACGGUGGGGCCACCGGCUACGGGUCGAUCGAGACCCUUGCGGCCGGGCCGAAUCCGUGACUGUCCUCGCAACUGUGAGCGCAGAGGCAAGACCAUACCCGCCACUGGCGGUCCCGGCAGCGUCCGGGACGGCUGGGAAGGCCGGUCGACGCCGUUGACGCGCGAGUCAGGAGACCUGCCGCUAUUCCAGCCACCUU
rnacentral:ncRNA from 2 species